UACAGAGGGUGCGAGCGUUGUUCGGAAUCAUUGGGCGUAAAGCGCUUGUAGGCGGCCUGUCAAGUCGCGUGUGAAAUCCCUUGGCUUAACCAAGGAAGUGCGCGCGAAACUGGCGGGCUUGAGUGCCGGAGAGGGUCGCGGAAUUCCCGGUGUAGAGGUGAAAUUCGUAGAUAUCGGGAGGAACACCAGUGGCGAAGGCGGCGACCUGGACGGACACUGACGCUGAGACGCGAAAGCGUGGGGAGCAAACAGG
rnacentral:rRNA from 1 species